rnacentral:lncRNA from 1 species
CAUACAGCUUGCUAAGAUUUUGAUUGAUUGAGACAUUAAAUCAACUUGGGAAGAAUUGACGUUUUAAUAACAUCAAGUCUUACAACCUGCAGGAAGAGCUGUAGAAGAUGUCAUCAAUUCUUCCAAUCACUGGGAAGGGGUUAAGACGCAGACAGACAGAUGAUCACUAGAUUUGACAGCAUGGGAACCCUAACAAGAGCAACUGUGGUGGUAGGAAGUAAGGUCACAUGUCAUUGAUGGGCACAAUGGAUUCCUGACCUCUCUUCUCUUUCUCUCUUUGCUUCCUGGUUGCCAGGAGUACCAUUGAGCUUACUGUGGACGCACAGCAAUCAGUGGAAAGAAGGCCAAGAUAGAAAACAUUUCAGCACUCCAGAAGGUUCUCUUGUGUCUCCUUCCAGACAGAAGAGCCCCAAAGAUAACUGUUGUUUUGAACUUCAUAUAAAUAAAAUCACUCAAGCGAAGCACGUACUAUUUGUG